rnacentral:rRNA from 1 species
UACGUAGGGCGCAAGCGUUAUCCGGAAUUGUUGGGCGUAAAGAGCUCGUAGGCGGUUUGUCGCGUCUGCUGUGAAAGUCCGGGGCUCAACUCCGGAUCUGCGGUGGGUACGGGCAGACUAGAGUGAAGUAGGGGAGACUGGAAUUCCUGGUGUAGCGGUGAAAUGCGCAGAUAUCAGGAGGAACACCGAUGGCGAAGGCAGGUCUCUGGGCAGUAACUGACGCUGAGGAGCGAAAGCGUGGGGAGCGAACAGG